GUGCGCUGGGGGCGCGCCGAGCUCGCACAUGCGCGCUGCGUGCUCUAGUUCCUGUCGCGAGCUGAGCUGGAGUUCCGCAGCUGGUAAUUAGGCGCUCUCGGGUCCUCUCCCGCCAUACAGCUAUCGAGCUUUUCUAGAGGAAGAGCUGAUGAAAAGAGUCACAGCUGAAUAGUGGAGAGAAAAAGCCCGGUAUUUAUUGCUUUUGUUUGGCUUUUGGCUACAGAGACAGGAACCUUCUAAUGGGGUCAAACAGCAUCUUUCCAGCUCCACUGCUGAUGCCACUCUGGCCACCUGAGAUCACCGCAAGUUCUCCUAGUCUUCCAGAACUCCAGCCACACCACCCGGUCCUAUGCCGCACGCAGACCUGAAGAGCGUGUGGUCUACUCUUCCUACAGGGACUAAUAUGUCUGAAGAAAUGCUGUUUGGAUAAUCAUUGUUCCUGUUCAUCACAUGCAUUGAGAACCAUGCUGAGAAUACCACGGAAUACAGCCUGCGUUACAACAGCGUGAGUCUACUGCUCACAGAGCUGUCUCUGACCGUCGCCCCUUUGUCAGACGUGAGUGACUGCACCUAAAUGGACCGGCUGAAAAACAGGAGGGGCCCCACUGUCAGCACUGAUAGGGGCUGCAAAGCCUCACAGCCGCCGCUCCUGAGGUCCCUUCCUGCUCUGAAAUCUGCAGCAGUUCCAUCUGGCAGAGUUUUCAAAGUUCUUCCCUGUUUCUUCAUCUUCCGGGGUCACUCGGAAGGGGGAUCAUAGCCUUUGCUGUGUUGGAAAGUGCUAUGAUCUGAAUGUUUGUGUCUCCCCCAAGUUCACAUGUUGGACUCCUAAUGCCCAAUGUGAUGGUGUUAGGAGGUGGGCCGUUUUGGGGGUGAUUAGGUUGUGGAGGGCCCUCCUGAAGAGGAUAAGUGACCUUAUAAAAGAGACGCCCUCACAGGGCUUUCUAGCCCCUUCUGUCAGAUGAGGACACAGCAAAAAGUGUGCAACUCAGAAGAAAGCUCUCACUCGACGAUACUGACACUUUGACUUUGGACCUCCAGCCUCCAGAACUGUAAGAAGUAAAUUUUUGUUGUUUCUAAGCGACCCAACCUGCGGUAUUUUGUUAUACCAAUCCAAUGGACUAAGACAGAAGGAAUUGAUGGGUUGGCAGAAUUUUCAUAAUUUUGCUGUGUAAUCUUUCUGUUAUUCACAAACACAAUAUAGGAAUUAAAAGGGCUGGAAGAGUGCCAGAAACCACUGAAGACGUUGAAGGUGGUGAGGAGGAAGCCUUACUAUUGCAGCAGCAAUGAAGGCCAGCCUGUCCGCGGGGAGUCUGCAAGCGUGAGCAAAAGCGGAGGUUCUCUUGGUGAUGGAAGAACUUGGGUUUCUGAAUGCUUAUGGUAGACGGAUUUAAGGCAGAUUAACUAACUGGGGGGUUCACUGGUUCCCUUGCCCCUUAUAUUGUCAGAAACUUUCUAAAUUUAUAAUUUCUGUGAUUACGAAUUCAGUUCUAACUUAAGGCCCAGAUGUAGGACUGUGUAGAAUAUAUUCACCAAGAAAGUCCACUUGCAAUAUUGAGACUAAAUGAUAUUUAUGAUAUUUCUUUAAUUUAUCUGGAAAAACUACAUGCUACCUCUUAAAUAUAAAUGCUCUGUUAAUCUGAGAAGUAGAAUGUUUUGAAAAUUUGCAAAAAAUAUUUUGUGUGAGGUUGUAAGUAAUAGUUAUGUAACACUGAGGUAUUUUCAUAAACUGGUCCCUUCAUAACCAAAGACUGAGUGUGCUGCCUGAUAUAUGUGGAGAUGAUACUGUUGGGUUAAAGAUAAUCUAGAGUUUAGGCUUUCAGGUAAUGGAUUUAUCCUGAUCUACUUAUGUUCUCUUAUUUGGGAGAGUGUAUUUAUACCCAAAAAACCUAAUGCAUGGGAAUGAAAUUUAAAAGUAUAUAGGGUCUUUUGCACUUAAAAUUCUAUUAGAAGACUUUUGAUUUACAUCUCAUUUAUGAGGAUCCCUGGGUUUAUCACCUGAUUGGGCACAUUAAAAAAAAGUAUACACACACACACACACACACACACACACACACACACACAUACACACCACAUUUACAAAUCUAUAAAUGUCAUAUAUUUUGGUAACAGCAGGUGGUCUGAUGUAUGGCACAGUAGCAAAUGUUGAAAAGGCCAUGCCAUGCUUUUGUGUGUGAUGGCCCAGAGCAAGAUGACCCAGUUUUGAUUUUCACCACGGUUGUCAAAACUGUGUGAUGAGUGAAUUUGUACUGAGCUUUUUCCAUCUUUCUUUUCUGAAUCCCUUCCCUUCAUCAGCUGAAACUUGUGGUCCUCAGUGCUUAGUAUUCUCAAGCUGUUUAUUGGUUGCUUAGAAUCUUCUACUGUGGCAUUACCACUUGGCCUGUCUUUCUUCCCUGAACCCUGUGUGCCACUCUUUACCUUUGACCCAUCCCAAUGCAUCUUCCCUAUGUGUUUCAUUUUCAGUAUUGUUGGGGAGAAUGAUUUCGGUAUUGAUGGGGAGAAUGAAUGUGAUUCAAAAAAAAAUGUGAGCCAUCAAAUUCUUUACUUACAGUGAUUACUAUUAUAGGAGUUUACAUUAUCUUGCAGGAUUGGAGGGGGAGAUAUUUGGGGACUAGAGAGUGAUUUGGAUUUGUGUAUGUCAUGCCUGUAAAUCCAAAUACUUCCUUAAUCUGGCUAACUCAGAAGAAUGGCUAGGAGUAAAGCAGGAAGGACAGUAGAUUUCCUGGAGCUCAUGAUGCUCCCUCCUCAAAUGGUGCUUUUCAAAAACAUUUUAAAUGCAGUAUCACUGACAUGGUGAUUUUUAACAGUGUAGUUAAAAGACUUUAGAGAAAGCAAAGUAAUAAAGAAGGAAGUAACCAGGCUUCAGAGGGUCAAUGUUCUUGCUUUGUGAGUUUCACCCCACCUGGCCUCACCUUGAUGCUGGCUCCACCUGGCGUUAGGACCUGAGAUUGACUCCGGACUGUGUCCAUCCAACUGAUUAUGAGUUUGAGUCUGAGUUGUUUGGGGGAAGCCUCUUGUAGUUUCUAGAACAUUCACUUCUGGCAUUUGUCAGCUCUAGGGGAAAAUUUAUUGCCUAGGAAAAGCUAACUUUUAAUACACAUGUAUUGGCCGAAUUUGAUCUCUAUUGACAGAAGAGAGACAUUUUUAGGCAUCAUGUUGCUGAGGAAUUAUUUAUUUUGAAAGGAAGUCAGGGUCUUUGGAUAAUUCUGGAUCUGGAGACUUAUUUAACACAUUUUUAAAAAAAUUAAUGUUUAUUUUUAAGAGAUGGAGAGACAGAGUGUGAGUGGGAAAGGGGCAGAGAGAGAGAGAGAGAGAUACAGAAUCUGAAGUAGGCUCCAGGCUCUGAGCUGUCAGCACAGAGCCCAAUGCGGGGCUCGAAUCCACCAGCCGUGAGAUCAUGACCUGAGCCAAAGUCAGACGCUUAACCAACUGAGCCACCCAAGCACCCCUAUUUAACACAUUUUAAUUGAGGACCUGUUUAGUUAAUGUCCUAAAGAUAGAGCUGAGCCAAAGACACAUGGACAUUUAAGGAGCUCACACACUAGUGUCACAAAAGCCUUUUGUAGAAUUUAAAUCACUAUACAAAUUAGUUAUUGGUUGUAAUUUACUAUAAAUACUUAUUCAAUAAAUAUUGAGCAAGUAUCUGCUAUAUUCUAAGCCCCGUGCUUGGUGCUGGGAAUACUGGAGAAUAUAAGGUGCAUAAAAUAUAGUCUUUAUCCUUGAGGAAUUUAUAGCUUGAGAUAGAGUUACUGAAACAAAUAGCCAAAAUGUCAGGAAUUACAUAAUGUCAAGAAUGAAACUCCAUAAGAGAGGCAGGUACAAAGCACUUCAGGUCCAUAAGAAUGGUUCUUAGUGCUAACUACCUGUGAAGGUCUCAGCAGGCCUCUCCUGAGAAGAUGGUAUUUGAUUUGGAUUUGAAGGAUGAGAGGAAAUCUGUAAAAUGGAAGACAAUGUGGAUAGACCGUACUUGUAGAAAAUUUAGAGUGAAGAAAUCCAAGGUAGAGGGUAAUAGGUUCUUGUUACUAAUUCUGAUGAGUAUGUGUGUGCUUGUGUGUGGGUGGUGAUGGGAGGUUUCCCCACACCAAUAAGCAGUUCUUGGACACCAGCUAGGUAUCCUACAAUUCAACUCACUCCUAACCCUACCUAUCUAGAGACAACAUCAGAUCCCACAGGUGAAGAGUUCAGUCCUACAGGACUGCCCCCUCCUCCCCACCACCACUUCAGAUGCAGGUAUCAAAUUCAGGUUGUCACUUGUGCUUUUGAUCUACCAACCAGCUACAGAUUGGAGGUUCCCACAACCCCCUCCUGGGCUAUGAUACAUUUGCUACAGUGGUUCACAGAACUCAGGAAGCCCAUUUACUCACCAGAUUCCUGGUUUAUUAUGAAACCAUAAUUUCUGUUAUGGUUUCCAUAACAGAAGGAAGGAAGGAAGGAAGGAAGGAAGGAAGGAAGGAAGGAAUGCAGGGGCAAGGUGUGGGGAAAGAACGUGGAGCUUCCAAGCCCUCUUCCAUUUCACAACUCUCCCAGCACCUGCAUUGGCCAUUGGUGAUCGAUCUCAAUCUCUAGUCCCUUUCUCCUCCCCGGGGGCCAGGGGAGGGCGAUGGAAAGCUCCAACCCUCUUAUCAAAUGCUUGGUUCUUUUGGCAACCCCCAGUUUUAGGUGAGGUCCAAAAGUUACAUCUUUAACAUAACAAAGGACACUUUUGUUGUUUUCUUCACUUGGAAAUUCUGGGUGUUAGGAGCUCUGUGCCAGAAAGGGCAACGAAGACCAAAUAUAUAUUUCUUACUAUAAAUUCCAAUAUCAAGGGGGAAAUUUCCAAGGUCUGAAAUGUUGUGAAUUUGUUCAUGUACAAGGGCAUAUGAGAUUAACUUUGCACAUGAGACACAGCUAGCUAACUACAUGACUUUUCUCUAGUUAACACAAUGGGUUCAUUCUCUUCCUUCAUAUUUGGGCUAAUUCUGGUCAUAACACCUUGGCCUUCAUGGGUAGAUUGUUUAUUCUGUUUAUUGGAAUUUCAACAAUAUCUUUGCAUUUGCAUAAAAUGUCUCUUUUAAAAUGUAUUAACAGAUCAAAUGUAGUAUGGCAAUAAUGUGUAUUAAAUAAUGUAUAGUAAAAUGAACAAAAUAGAAAAUAUUUAUGUUAAUAUAAUCUGAAAUUAUCUCUGUAGAAGAUAGAUACUAUCACUUAGUCAAGUUUUCAAAAUGCCCAAGAUGUAUGAAUACUCAUAUGCCCUUCAGUAUUGUCGUUUUAUCUCUGUAUUAUCUUUUUAAAAACCAGUUUCUGAAACCCUCAGCUAAAUUCUUUUUCUAUGCUGUUGUUCCUUGGAGGUCUGGAUAUAGAAGUCCAAGGGCACAUUUGGCUCAGAGAAUUGGACAGAAAUCCCAUGCACUGGCACGUUGACGCACCACCCCGUUGAAAGGGCCGAACUGCCGUUGGGUCUGACGCCUCUCCCAGCCUCCACCUGUUCUCGCCUCACUUUACCUCACAGAUGUGUCCCCUGAUGAACUUCCCUGACGCCUGCUUCUCGGAGGACCUGUAUCGACACGUUGUCUAAUUCAGUCUCCCCAAACUUAGGAGCUAUUGAUGACUAUAAGAAAUUGAGCCUCGGGGAUUUUGAAGUAUGCAUUCAGGUCACCCUGCCAGUGAGUGGCAGUCUUCCAACCCAUCUCCGUCUCUUGACUCGUCUCAUUGUGCCACACUGUCUAGGACAGCUUACUGUACAUAAAAAGUGUGCCGAUCCCUGACAUGGCAAUGCAAAGUUCUUCCAGAAACCAUCAAGGCAAACUCUCCAACAGCAAGUCCUUACCAAAAGCCUGAUUGCAAGAAUAUUUUUCUCUCAGAUCUUAGUAUCAAGAAAGUUGGGCUUGCUCUUGAGCCACUGCAGUGUGCAGUAGUCCUCGACGUUCCCACUCGAUCAGAUUGUGAAAUAAGACUCAGACACCACUCGUUGCUUGGAGGGAAUGUACGGGGCUCUGACCACUGAGGCCUGCAGGAGUCUGGCAGGAAACUACAUACACUACCUGCAGGGUUAUUUUGUCCUUAAAGAUUUGGGUAAAAUACUAGCAUAUUUUGGCAUAUAGCGGCAGCACCGAACAAAGGACUGGAUUUGGAAAUGGAAGUCACAGAUUCUACUCUCAGCUCUGCAUGUAAAUAACCAUGUGAUUUUAGGCAAAUCACUCCUUGUAUGAUGAUUAGAGGUUAUAAACCUAAACUACCAAGAGUGAGAAUAUUUGUGGGAGUUCUUUGUUUCUAGAUAAAAGUACAGUAUUAUCACUAGAGUUAUUUAUAUAUGUGAUGAUAGUGACAUAGAGCACACAUGAAAUCAUAGACACUUCUCUACUAGGGAAUUAAAUAGUGUUAGUAGCUUCAAUAACAGAAAGAGGCACUUUCAAUUGUAUUCCUUUUGAUUUGGGCCUCAUAGAAAUAGAUAAGUUGAGGUGUUUAAUGUCUUUUUUCUUUAUUUGUUUUUUGUUCUACCCUGAGAAGCAAUUUUGCUCACAGCAAAGAGAAUAAAAAUGAAGGACUUGAGGAGAGAACAAGAAGUUUGGAAUAAGUAAUAUAAGGAAUGUACAGUGGAGAUGCUUGGUGUACAUGUGUGAAAUGUUAAGUAGACUGAAAACCCCAGUUGUGUGUAAUGUACACGGAUUAAUUAGCAUAUUUCAUUUUUUUCAUUAUUAUUACUAUUUUUUUGACAGUAUCCAGUACUCUGGACACAGGAGCAGAGACAUAAGCAAUAUGUAUUCAUACAAGACUCAUUAUUAUCCAGAGGAAUUCAGGAAAAGAAAAACAAGGUAAAUAUAUCAAGGGUUUUGGAGAUAGAAUUAUUUGCUUGAUAAACAAGGUGUUUCAGGAAUAAUGGAAAAGGAAAUGGGGAAUGAAGGUCCAAAGGAGACUGAUUUUCAUAGAAAAUGUCUAUAUACUUUAAUAGUUAUCUUUUGUGAGAAUCUGUGAGUGUUAACCUCUUUUAGUCUCUGAUGUCUGAAGAGGUCUGGUUAUGACAGUUUAUGUGGGUAUAAAACUGCAGGCUUACUGAUUUCCUCCUUAAAAUUUAAGAAAACCAUUGAAUUCUGGCAUAUGUUUUUGCUGAGGGGGAAAUACAUUGUGUAAUUGUUGUUCUUUGGUUGGUAGGUUGGUGUUUUCCUCUGGUAACUUUUACGAUUUUAUCCUUAUCCUUGAUAUUCUUCAGCUUUCUCUCAUGUGAUGAGGCAUGGAGUUAUUUUAUUUAUGUUGGGACCCAGGUAUCCCUUCAAUUUUGGAAAAUUCUUUACCGUAUCCCUUUAAGUAUUGUGUUUCUAACAUAUUUUUCUAAAGUUAGAUAUAUGUUUAAGACUCUCAUUCUAUCCUCUAUGACUUUUUGAAGGUUUUUGUUUCUUUUUUCUUUUAAAAUUUUUUUUAACAUUUAUUUAUUAUUGAAAGACAGAGAGAGACGGAGCAUGAGCGUGGGAGGGGCAGAGAGAGGGGGAGACUCAGAAUCCGAAGCAGGCACCAGGUUCUGAGCUGUCAGCACAGAGCCCAAUGCAGGGCUUGAACUCACAAACUGCAAGAUCAUGACCUGAGCUGAGGUCGGAUGCUUAACCGACUGAACCACCCAGGCACCCCUGAAGGUUUUUGUUUCUGUUUCUUGUCCAUGAUGUAUUAAAAGUAAUUUCCACAAUACCAUCUUUCAAUGAAUUGUGACUUGUCUAGAUAUUAUUUUGGUGUAUGAAAAUUCUUAUUGCUCCAUAUACUUGCUAACACUUGGUAUUAGUUGUUUUUAGCUUUAAGCAUUUUGAUAACUGUACCAAAGUGGUACCUCAUUGUGAGGUUGGCACCUUUAUAUAAAUCUAUUGAUUCUUUGGAUAUUCUUUUUUAAGAAUACCUGUUCAAAUGUCCUACGUCUUUUUCAUUGGAUUGUUUGUAUGUUUCCCUAAUUGAUUUUUAUGAGUUUA